rnacentral:lncRNA from 1 species
GUGGUUUCCUAGAUAGAUUGAACUACCUGUCAUGGUUCACAUCUCAUCUAACAGCCACGUGGGAACCCAUUCAAGAGAAAAAAAAAGAGAUCAAACGGUCAGGCGAAAUAAUGAUUGCCAAGGGGCAUUGAAAAAUAAAAGAAAGUUGCAGGAACCUCUGAUUCCGAUGUCUCCUGUGGAAGGAGCAAUUGUCAAUCUGUACUU